rnacentral:rRNA from 1 species
AAUGAACGUUGGCGGCGUGGAUUAGGCAUGCAAGUCGUGCGGAAAGGCUCCUUCGGGAGUACUCGAGCGGCGUAAGGGAGAGUAACGCGUGGAUACCUACCCCCUGGACUGGGAUGGCGGCGGGAAACUGCCGGUAAUACCAGAUAAUGUCUGCGGACCAAAGGUGUGAUUCCGCCGGGGGAUGAGUUCGCGUCCUAUUAGCUAGUUGGUAGGGUAAUGGCCUACCAAGGCAAAGAUGGGUACCGGGUGUGAGAGCAUGGCCCUGCUAACUGGGACUGAGACACUGCCCAGACACCUACGGGUGGCUACAGUCGAGAAUCUUCGGCAAUGGGCGCAAGCCUGACCGAGCGACGCCGCGUGCGGGAUGAAGGCCUUCGGGUUGUAAACCGCUGUCAGAGGGGAGGAAAUGCGUGGGAGUUCUCUCUCACGUUUGACCUAUCCUCAGAGGAAGUACGGGCUAAGUUCGUGCCAGCAGCCGCGGUAACAC